UGCCAGUCGAACGGUGAAGCCAAGCUUGCUUGGUGGAUCAGUGGCGAACGGGUGAGUAACACGUGAGCAACCUGCCCUGGACUCUGGGAUAAGCGCUGGAAACGGCGUCUAAUACUGGAUAUGAGCUCUCAUCGCAUGGUGGGGGUUGGAAAGAUUUUUCGGUUUGGGAUGGGCUCGCGGCCUAUCAGCUUGUUGGUGAGGUAAUGGCUCACCAAGGCGUCGACGGGUAGCCGGCCUGAGAGGGUGACCGGCCACACUGGGACUGAGACACGGCCCAGACUCCUACGGGAGGCAGCAGUGGGGAAUAUUGCACAAUGGGCGCAAGCCUGAUGCAGCAACGCCGCGUGAGGGAUGACGGCCUUCGGGUUGUAAACCUCUUUUGGUAGGGAAGAAGCCUUCGGGUGACGGUACCUGCAGAAAAAGCGCCGGCUAACUACGUGCCAGCAGCCGCGGUAAUACGUAGGGCGCAAGCGUUAUCCGGAAUUAUUGGGCGUAAAGAGCUCGUAGGCGGUCUGUCGCGUCUGCUGUGAAAUUCCGAGGCUCAACCUCGGGCUUGCAGUGGGUACGGGCAGACUAGAGUGCGGUAGGGGAGAUUGGAAUUCCUGGUGUAGCGGUGGAAUGCGCAGAUAUCAGGAGGAACACCGAUGGCGAAGGCAGAUCUCUGGGCCGUUACUGACGCUGAGGAGCGAAAGGGUGGGGAGCAAACAGGCUUAGAUACCCUGGUAGUCCACCCCGUAAACGUUGGGAACUAGUUGUGGGGUCCUUUCCACGGAUUCCGUGACGUAGCUAACGCAUUAAGUUCCCCGCCUGGGGAGUACGGCCGCAAGGCUAAAACUCAAAGGAAUUGACGGGGACCCGCACAAGCGGCGGAGCAUGCGGAUUAAUUCGAUGCAACGCGAAGAACCUUACCAAGGCUUGACAUACGCCAGAACGGGCC
rnacentral:rRNA from 1 species